rnacentral:lncRNA from 1 species
CGGAAACGUUUCCUUCUGUGCGUUACGUACAUCCACUUUGUGCAAAAAUAAAAUAUACCCUAUUAAAUCUUUGAGUACCGGGCAUAAAAACUGAACCAGAAAUUUGUCUUUUCGUUUGUUUAGGAUCCAGCAACGUAAACGAAAUACACAGAUUCUUAUCGGCAUAUCGAUACGAAGAGCGUGUGUGGACUGAGAGAACAUCUGGUGCACAGGCCCGAAAUAUAUGGUUAACAAUUAUUCCGGGGGCUGUGCGUUUUGACCAUUCACUUAUGCGCACCUAGAUAGACCCACAUGACCGCAUGUCACCACCACACACAUUC